AUGCAAGUCGAACGGUAACAUUUCUAGCUUGCUAGAAGAUGACGAGUGGCGGACGGGUGAGUAAUGCUUGGGAACUUGCCUUUGCGAGGGGGAUAACAGUUGGAAACGACUGCUAAUACCGCAUAAUGUCUUCGGACCAAACGGGGCUUCGGCUCCGGCGCAAAGAGAGGCCCAAGUGAGAUUAGCUAGUUGGUAAGGUAAUGGCUUACCAAGGCGACGAUCUCUAGCUGUUCUGAGAGGAAGAUCAGCCACACUGGGACUGAGACACGGCCCAGACUCCUACGGGAGGCAGCAGUGGGGAAUAUUGCACAAUGGGGGAAACCCUGAUGCAGCCAUGCCGCGUGUGUGAAGAAGGCCUUCGGGUUGUAAAGCACUUUCAGUUGUGAGGAAAAGUUAGUAGUUAAUACCUGCUAGCCGUGAC
rnacentral:rRNA from 1 species